UGCAAGCUGAAUCCAUACCCAGAGGCCCUGCACCUUCACAGGCGGGAGUGGGAUUUGUUUACAGCCCCAGGCAGAGAGGGCAGAUUCGCUCUCUGUGGACGCUUUGUGGACCCGUGCCUCUGGGAAGAGCCUGCAGUGAGCAGCGUUCUGGCAUGCAGCGGGUGCCACAGGAUAUCUAGCUGACUGAAAAAGGAAAAGGUCAUGGGGUAAAAGCCAGCACAUGGGGAAAAAGACUCCGUGCCUUAAAACAGCAAUAUACUGCUCUUCAACAGCACAGAUGCCCUGUCCACUCUCAAGCUGGCAGAAGGCCACUGAGUACUGGGAUUGGCUGGUGAACAUAUGCUCUGCUGCAGGUCAUUCUCUCUCCGCCUGUCUUUCCUACAGCUCACCUGGAUUUCUGACCACAAGCCUGCUCCAGCUUCAGAUAAAUGCAUACCUGUUGUGGUCCUGGCACC